GGCCCCGUAGUCUAAAUGGAUGAGGCACCUGCCUACGAAGCAGGUCAUAUGUGGGUUCGAGUCCCACCGGGGUCU
rnacentral:tRNA from 1 species